ACUACUCGUCCCCGUCUCUCUUUCUCUGAGAAGCUUUGGGGUUAGUUACUGCAGUACUGCCCAGCUUCAGAGCAGAAUGGGAGGGGUGGUUCUCCCUCUCUCUCUGAACCUCGUCAGUCUGAGUAGAACACUGAUAGUAUCGGACACAGCGGGGACAACUCUCCCACCACAUUAACUGUGCAGCAGCGUGUGUGUUUGUGUGUUCGUGUGUGUGGUAGCGCUAAAGGGAGAGGGAUAAGUGUGUUCCAGGAAAAAGGAGGAGUGUGUAAAAGGAGGAGCAGCACCAUUCUGGCUGUGUUUUCUCUCAGUGUACAGAGGGGCUGGAUGUCUGGAGGUUUGCAGAGGAGGAGCCCUGAAGAGUAUGGACUCUACUCCAGUGACUGAACUAAAGGGUCAGUUGAAGAGGCCUUAGAAUGGGACCACUCCUCACUUCCUCACUUGUCCAAAAGUGCACUUCAAUAUCUACCUCUCAGUGACUCCUAGGCCUAUAGGGACUGCUGACUACUUAUCACUGGUAUUGCGCUGAUCUGAGUCAGCUUUAAUCAAUGAAACACCUUGCUCAGUAGACGUCUGCCCACAUAGGUAAACAGUUGUAAGCAUGGAGUUCUCCGUGGUAUGACCUUGUUUUGAGGUCUUUAGCAGUUAGCGACAUCAGCUUUCCCCACGCACUCCCGGAGACCAGAGAUGAGUGUGUCUCAGCCCGGGGAACGCGUCCCCGUCGGAGGCAUGAAUAGCUCCGGAAUGAGGCUCCCCCUCCUCUGCACCGGCGACCAAAAUGGCAAUGCUUUCCCUGUCUCCUCUUCCUCCUCCUCUUCCUCCCCAGACUCCCUGCAGAGUCUGAGCAGCCUGGACGUCGACAUGGAAUGCGUGAUGUCGACCCAAAUCAAAAUGGCCGCUAUCUCAGCAGCUGGGGAACUGCCUCAGACUGAGAUCUCUGAAUCCAACGACAACUCUGUGUCCGUCUACCUGGACGCUGAUGAGGACUCCUGGAACGACAACCUGACCCUCGCCAUGAGCAUUGCUGGGAUACGGGAGCAUAGCAACGGUAGCCAAGGCGAUCUCCAUGACAACGUUAGCAGUGUGGCGAGCAACAGCGGUGGGAGAAGGGACUCUUCCCCGGACUCGGCGGCCACGGAGAUCCCAGGUGAUGAGGGUGAUGUUGAAGAUGAUGAGGAAGGGUUUUUCCUGUCGGUGAGCUCGGACAUGGUGAUGAGGAGAAUCAGCCUGAUCGACUCGGAGCGGCUCCCCAGCAGCGGGGUGUCCAUCCUGGAGGACUCGUACACGGCCACCCCCUCCACCACGGCUCCCAUCCAGGCUCCACUCUCCGCCCCAUUGCCUGACCUCUGUAAGGGCCUUGAGGGGAGGACGAGUCCUCAUGCUGGGACCAUCACCAUGGAACUCCAGAACCUCCAGACCGAGGCUAGCAGCUCACCGGAUCUGCCCGAUAGAGAGGCACUUCAGGUUGGGGUGGAUCUGCCCGAGGAAGCCUGCACUCUGGAUGUUCUCCCCAUGGUGGAGGCAGUGGACACCAAGCCUAUUGUGGCACUAGAGGUUCUUCUCAGUGAGACUACAGUGUCUCCAGAUUCAGAAGGCUUCACUGUAGUCUCCCAGAACUCCACCUCAGUACAAGUCUCCAAGGGUGUGGAUUUGGCAGUGUCCCCCUUUACCGUUCCCCAGUUUCCAAACAAAGGGUCCAAAGGUGCGAGCCCCGCCUUCCGAAAGACCAAGGAACACCCGUGUGCAACUCGGGUCAAACCGAACGCCGCCAUCGCCAAGACAGCAGUCACCACGACAUCCAAACCUGGUAGGACCGACAUCAAGAGGUUCCCCAAACCCGACCUGAAGAACGUCAAGUCUAAGGUCAUGUCCAGGCCCGCCUCUACAACCAGAACAGCCAAUCAGACGCAGGGAAAAACUGCUCCGGCCAAUGAAAAGAAAGCCCCAGACGGAGUCAAAAGGCAAAGGUCGUCUUUGGGUCAAACUAAAGUAGCUUCGCUGAAGCCGAGCCCCAAACCCAGACCCAAUCAAAACACAGAGCCCAGAGUCUCUAACCAAUCUGAGAAGAGGAGGAAGGGCACUUUAGUCAAUGGCAUUCGCUCCACCUCCAGCAGCUCUCUGGGUUCAGAGUUGGCUGUGGAUGGGCACCGUUGGACGCCUGAAGAGGGUCUCCUAAAUGGACAAGAGGGUACUACAGGAGUGUGCACUACAGGAGUGUGCACUACAGAUGACACUACAGAGGGAGCAGGGGGUGAGACACCUGUAGAACAAAUGAGAAGCAAUGGCACAAAGGUCUCCUCCAAGCUGGGGCCCUCAUCGGUCAGACAGCUGCCCCAGGUCAAGGGCAGGGGGGCCGGGGGAGCGAGCAACACCGGGGGACCCUCCCUGUCUCCCACCUCUCCAGCUCCAGUAGGAGGGAGUUUUGGCUCCAGGCUGCCCCCUCCCGCUCCUCCUACGACGGGGAAGGACGGCCAGACCACUGGGAGUGUGUCUCCACCGAGAGGACGACCAAGUCAGACAGCUGGUAUCCCCAAGCCACGUGUCACAGACAGACCCUCUGGAUUGCCUGGGCCUACUGUGGUGACCUCUAACCCAAAGCCAUCCGUCAACCAGGGGUUAGGUGCUGCUCGCCCUUCGGCUGCUGCCGCCGCCGCGUCCAAACUGCCCGUGAAGAACCUACCCACAAGCCUUAGCUCCUCUUCUCUGGGCAGCGCCGCCAGCGAGAGUAACGGAUCUUCAGCAGCCCCCAGCAAACUCCCAGCUCCAGUGGUGGGGGGCUGUAAGCCAGAUGAGAGGCCCAGCCAGCCUACAGCUCCAGGGGGAACCCAGGGGUCGAUUAAGGCCCCCACCACUACCAGGCCACUGGGGUUCCGAACCAGAGCCCCCUCACUACCAGGGAGAAGCACUGCAACAGGGCUGAAGACUCCAGCGGUGACCAGCCAGGUAGCAGGCAAGCAGGCCCAGAACCCCCUUCAGAGGGCCGGCUCGGCCAGGUUCAACCGCCCCACAGCUGCUGCCACAGUGGACAAGAACAAGGCUCGGGGGGCGCCGUUGGCGAGGACCCUCUCCCAGACCAGCACCACUACUCAGGUAGGAGGACCCAGCCAACCCCAGCCGCCCCAACCAGACCUGGUCCCAGUCCCUGCCGUCCCUCUCCCAGUCCAGGGACCAGUGGUCUCGGCAUCCCGCCCAGCCCGGGCUCUAGUGGAGGCUAAGCCGGCCACGGUGGCCCAGUACCGUGCCCAGUGUGAGAAGAAGAACCAGAGCCUUCAGCAGCUCCGACGGCUCCUGGAGCAGGGCAACCGUCGGAUAGAGGCCCUGGCUACCGUGGUGCAGCACCUCUUCACCGAGCGUGAAGAGACAUUGAAGCUGAAGAAAGGACUGUCCCUGGAGCUUUCUACCCUGCGCGAUGAGCUCAUCUCCUCGUCCCAGUGCUGUGAGCGGCUGCAGAAGGAGAAGGAGGAGGUGCGGGUGUCUCUGGAGGAGGUGGUGCGGAGGGUCCAGAGGGAUCACCAGGCUGAGCUGACCGGCCUGGAGGAGAGGCUCAAGGCCUUCUACCAGGCAGAGUGGGACAAGGUGCACCAGGCCUAUCAGGAGGAGGCGGACAAAUGCCGCGCACUCAUGGAGCAGCAGCUGGAGGAGAUGAGGAGCAGACAGGAGACUCUGAGGAGAAACUCUGAGGCCAGCCACGCUCAGCAGAUGGACACGCUCAGACUGACCUACGACACCGCUGUCCAAGAGCUCAGGAAAACCCUGGAACAGGACUUAGAGAACCUGGACAAAACACUAAAGGAAACAGAGGCCACUCUCACUGAGAAAAUCCAGGACCUCACGUUGGAGAACGAGGCGCUGAGCGAGAAGCUGCGAGCGGAGGAGGAGAGGAGGAGGAUUCUGGCAGAGAAGAACCAGAAGGACUCCCAUGUGUUGUAUCUGGGACAGGAGCUGGAGAGUCUUAAGGUGGUUCUGGAGAUAAAGACCAAACAGCUUCAUCAACAGGACAAGAAACUCAUGCAGAUGGACAAGCUGAUGGAGAGCAACGUGAAGCUGGAGGAGCGUCUGAACAAAGUCCAGCAGGAGAACGAAGACUACAGGGCCCGCAUGGACAAACACACCGCACUCUCCAAGCAGUUAUCCAGUGAGCAGGCCAUGCUGCAGCAGACCCUGCAGAAGGAGUCCAAGGUCAACAAGCGUCUCUCCAUGGAGAAUGAGGAGCUGCUAUGGAAGCUGCACAACGGAGACCUGGCCAGCCCCCGCCGCCUCUCACCCUCCUCGCCCUUCCACUCGCCCGGCAACUCGGCUUCCUUCCCCACCGCCGCAGCCCCACUCUCGCCCAGCAGAUAACCCAAACUGGAUACCAAGGGGGGAGAGAGAAAGAGAGUGUGUGUGUGUUUGUGUGGAUACCCCUUCCAACACACCCUAGAGACAACCCCCCUCUACAGUCCCUUACCUCCUACCCCCCAGAUCACCAACCCCAGCCUCUCAAGGAGACAAAGCUAUUCCAAAUACGGAUGGACUACUUCAUAUGAUGACGCUGCAGUUUUGGCUUCUGCCCACAAUGACUUGUACAGACGUUUUCUUUGCUCCCAGAAAGAGAAGACAAUGUUGCACAGAUGCACUUACUUAAAGCGUGGGACAAUUCUGCCUUCGUUCUUUUCUGCCUGAUUUCUCUCACUUUUUUCUCCCCUCAGCAGAGAGAAAGAACAGGCAACUUAAACCUCAGGGUUUGUACAUAGCUUCUCAGCUCCUUUUGAUUCUCCUUCUUUUAUUUGUGCAUCGUGUUCCCCGCUCCCCGAAUAACGUUUGUGUGAAAAACCUUGGAUGUAGUUUUGAAAAUGGUAUAGGCCAGAGACGGAAGGGGAAGUGAGACAUCGCAUUCCCUUUUUUUCUGGUUCAUAUACAUUCAAUGAAAAAAAAACUAUGGUAAAUGGCCCGAGUGGGGCAUCUUCAUUUAUCCGCCAUCUUUGGUAGAGACUUUUAGGGUGACUUAUUGAAGAGCAGAGCUUUAUCCAACAAGCUUUUAACCCGUUGUAUAAACAGUCUCUAUCUGGGCGCGGAUAUUCAGUUAAAGUGAACUUUAAUCCCAACCCUUCAUCUCUCUGCCGUAAUACAAGUGUGGAAUGUAUUUACCCAUCUGUGCUGUAUCGCUCAGAAUGUUCCCGAUCCAAAACUCCACAACGUUGUGUUGAGCCAAUGUUCUCUCAAACCUCUCCAUGUCUCCAAGAAUGCCUCAAACUGACCAUCAUUUUGUUUCAUUUUAAAAGGAUCGAUGUCAUCUGGUGUUCUGGUCAGUUGGACAUCAGAUCCAGCCGGAUGGACGUCGGAGGCCCGGAUCAUCAUGACUACGGAUUUGAUUGAAUACCACCAGCCG